rnacentral:rRNA from 1 species
AUUGAACGCUGGCGGCAUGCCUUACACAUGCAAGUCGAACGGUAACGGGCCUUCGGGUGCCGACGAGUGGCGAACGGGUGAGUAAUACAUCGGAACGUGCCCGAUCGUGGGGGAUAACGAGGCGAAAGCUUUGCUAAUACCGCAUACGAUCUACGGAUGAAAGCAGGGGACCGCAAGGCCUUGCGCGGACGGAGCGGCCGCUGGCAGAUUAGGUAGUUGGUGGGAUAAAAGCUUACCAAGCCGACGAUCUGUAGCUGGUCUGAGAGGAUGAUCAGCCACACGGGGACUGAGACACGGCCCAGACUCCUACGGGAGGCAGCAGUGGGGAAUUUUGGACAAUGGGCGCAAGCCUGAUCCAGCCAUGCCGCGUGCAGGAUGAAGGCCUUCGGGUUGUAAACUGCUUUUGUACGGAACGAAAAGCCUUCUUUUAAUACAGGAGGGUCAUGACGGUACCGUAAGAAUAAGCACCGGCUAACUACGU